AGGGAAAAGUGUGAAAAUUCAAGGAAACAAGUAAAAAAAGGUGGUGAAUCCUCCGAUAAAGGCAAAGAAAUUGUACCUGAGGAUCGAUAGUCGGAGUACUCUAAAAAUUUGACUCCCGAAAUAUAAAAUCUAUCUCCCCAAGUAUAAAAGGACGCUCCAAUGGUCAAAGAAGGAAGAUUGAAGCACAAAAGACCAUUUGGAUCAAAAAGCCAAAGAACCUUCAUCAAAUAUACGUGUUCUUCACUCUUAUUUUUGAAAGUGUUUAAGCCAGAUUGUAGUCUCUCUAGAUUUGAAAAGGUGUUUGAAAGAAGAAUUUUAGUGGAAAAAGGAGAGCAAUUUCAAGGUGUAGACUUCUACUACAUAUAUUUCAGUAUUUUGAACAUAACUUUCUCUACAGAGCUUCAAAUGAAGUUAUUCUUAAACCAUUGGAAGGAUAAGAGAAAGAUCUACAACUUUCAUGUUUACCACCUCAUCUAGUUUGGCUUGUAGGAUGGUCAAAAAUCUUGUCGAAGUUGAUGCAUUGUAGCAGUUCUAGAGCAAUUACGAUUUCUGUUAAUUAAUUGGGCAAGGCUAUGACUUACAUAGUCUGAUAAGGAAAUCCUAGCUGAAAUUGACUUCUUUCUUCACCCAACUUGGUCUAACUUCAAAGCCUAUAAAAAUAACCUUUCGGAAGACUUGAGAGAGGGGAAAAACGAAAAAAAAACCAGAUUGAAAGUUGAGAGUCAAGCCACGAGUCGUUGAAGCUAAGAAUUGGAAGGAUUCAAGGACAUUUGGAAAUCAA